CAAUAGCGUAUAUUAAAGUUGUUGCAGUUAAAAAGACUCGUAGUUGGAUUUCUGUUCUCGAGGAUCGGUCCGCCUCACGGUGAGCACUGGUUUUUCUUGGGGACAUCCUCUCGAAGGCGGGUGGUGCACUUAAUUGUGUGCUGCUUGGGAUUCGGGGACCUUUACUUUGAAAAAUUAGAGUGUUCAAAGCAGGCGUCGGCUUGAAUACAUUAGCAUGGAAUAAUGGAAUAGGACUUUGGUUCUAUUUUGUUGGUUUCUAGGACCGAAGUAAUGAUUAAUAGGGACAGUUGGGGGCAUUAGUAUUUAAGUUGUCAGAGGUGAAAUUCUUGGAUUUAUGAAAGACUAACUACUAGCGAAAAGCAUUUGCCAAGGAUGUUUUCAUUAAUCUAAGAACGAAAGUUAGGGGAUCGAAGACGGA
rnacentral:rRNA from 1 species